rnacentral:lncRNA from 1 species
UCCAAGGCCCUCUACGACCUGCUCCUGUCUGUCUCUACAGUCUCAUCCUCUCCACACCCUCAACUCCUGACAUGCAGUCUUUAUACAAGGAAAUGCCUGACUAAUGGGGAGUGUUGCCAGAUUAAGCAAAUAAAAAUACAGGAUGCCCAUUUGAAUUUGUCCCAUGCCAUGUUUGGCAAAUAAUUAUACAAAGAAAUUAUUUGUUGUUUAUCUGAAUUUCAAAUUUUAACUGGUGUUGUCUUUAUUAGCCACUCUCUCUUUCCUUUCUUCCAAGUCAUACCUCACAGACCACCCCUCCAAGAAGUUUCCCCGCCCUCUCUCACCACUCCCCUUAUCACAGCACCAACACAUGGCUCUUUGUUAGUAUAGUCAGUAGUGUUUGGUGCGCAGCAGACUCUGGGACCCAAUAGCUUCAUUUCAAAGUCUAGAAAGAGUCACUCUUCUCUAAUUGUGAAAAGUCCUUUAGUCUCUUUCUGCCUCACUUCCUGCAUCUGUCAAAUGAGGAUGGUGGUCACGGGGGUAACAAUGCCUGGCUCAGAGGAGUGCUGUGAGGACUCCGGAAUUCACCCAGGUAUAAACCACUUAGAGCGAUUUCCGGCACAUAGUAGAUGUAAUUAUUUUUUGUUUGAAUGAGUUGGCUGUGAAUUCCUGGCCAGCAGGAACUGUGUUCUAUUUAUUGCUACCCUGGCUCCUCAUGCGAUCCCUGCCGCACAAAUGAGGUGUGCUUAUCGAAUGAACUUGUCUGCUUUAAACUCCAACCUAGAACCCUGAGAAAGAAGAUUAUAAAACCUUUCCUGGCAUAUGGCCUUAUCCGGGGUCAAGAAGACUCCUGUUGACAGGGCUCCAUCUUUCCCAUCCCUGCUGGAUGUCCUUCCUGGGGUAGCUGUCCACCCUGCCUUCUGCUACUUCCACACAUCUGCCUAUUUCUAGGUCUCAUCACCUCCCUGGCUCUGCCCUUCUCCCAUCUCAGCGGCAGUGUUUGCUGAGUCUGCAGCUGACCGGUCUCUGUAGGCAGAGACUACUGUGUACCCCUCUGCCUGGACUUGCCUGGUCCAGCCUCUGAGCCAGGCUCUUCUGCUCCUGUGACCCAACUCUGACAAAUUCCAGAGAAUGAACAUUUCAUAUCUGUCUACCCGAAGAGCGAGAAAACAGGGGAAGUAGAAGGACAAGGAACAUUCAGUGUGAGACCUCCACCAGAACCCAGACUGCAGAGGCUGCUGCUACAGUCCUCAGAGCUUGUUCGCAUUCCUGGGAACCCCAGUGCAUCAUCCACUCUCCCCAAGCACAGAUAGGGGAUUGUCAACAGGCCGGCUGAGCUGAAAAGCCUCAUGCCCACUGGUGUGAGUGCCAGAUGGGCAGUGCUGUGGAGAGACUGACCAGCCCAGGUGCUGGGAAUCCAGCAGAAGACAAAGCAGACAAAAAUUUCUGCCCCUGUGGAGUUUACAUGCAAGAACAAGGAGACACAUAAUAAACAAAGAGAAAUAUAAAUUGGUUAUAAGUGUUAUGGACAAAAUGAAGCAGGUCUCAGAUUGUGUCUGCUCCCCAGACUUCUGACGGAGAACAUGACCCAUCCUGAGGUUAGUCCAGGGUCCUCCCUUUACUCACAUGUCUCCACUUCGUCUCCCUCUUACUGGUUGGUAACCAGCUCCACGGGCAGGGAGUGACCCCUGAGGUGACUACUUUUCUAGCCAAGAUGUGAAGGACAGCGAGCUCCCCUGUCCCUCUCCCCGGAGGUGAGACUCAGGCAUAGGGUACAACAGCUGUAGGUGCAUCCUCUCUGGUCAUGGGCUCGACGAGGACAGGACUCAUCAGUACCACAGAGGAGAGGCCUGUAGCACUUACACCAGGAAAUGCCAAGUAAGAGUCCUUGAAUAUUUGCCAUUUUACAAAGAGGUGACAUCAUUGAAGCCACUGCCGGACAGGAGGAGGCAGGUGAGGAUGCCGUUUAAAGGGACGGAGGGUGUGCAUGAGUGUAGUCCUCUCUCUUCAACUGAGGCUCUUUGCAAAUGGUCUGAUCAUUUCUGGAAAUCACUUUGGAUCUUUUCUAAGUGCCCCUUAGGCAGUAUUUCUUGGGAAACAGUCAGUUCCUCUGUUUCAUAUUUUAUCUAAUAUUUACUGCCUUUGUGUGAACCACCACUGCCUGUUUUGUCCUCAACACUGUAGGAGAAAGAAAGAAAGAAGAUCAGCCAGGAAAAACUGUGAAAGACUUUCAAAUGGUCGAAAAAGCUGACUGGGUAUCUUUUCAAUGGAAUACUGGCAUUGUCUCAUGGACUUCACACUGGUGAUCUUUGAUCUACAGAAGUGUGCCUUUGUUUCUUUUUCUAGGCUAUUGUACAGCUUUGUAGCAACAGAUGUUAACUCAUGGAACACUGAGAGGAAUACAGUUGAUUCCUGUCCUAGGCAAUGCACACGAUUUCUCUCUGAUAGAGAACAUAAAGUUCUAUAAAUAAAAUCCUCACUUGAACCACUCUUAGCACUUUUACUGGUUUCCUCGUUAAUAAGUUAAAUGAACUCUUUGGCACCUGUUCUUUAUAUAUAUUAACCUUUUUUGAAACUCAUCUUUUAUCAGGACAUAUGCGGCUUUCACUCUAAAGCUGUUACCAGAAGAAACAAAACAGUACAAAAUCUAGGGUUAAAUUUGGGGGGAGGAAAGAACAUAAGCACAGCAAAUGAGGAAGUCCUGUG